GAUGAACGCUGGCGGCGUGCCUAAUACAUGCAAGUCGAACGCUUCACUUCGGUGAAGAGUGGCGAACGGGUGAGUAAUACAUAAGUAACCUGGCAUCUACAGGGGGAUAACUGAUGGAAACGUCAGCUAAGACCGCAUAGGUGUAGAGAUCGCAUGAACUCUAUAUGAAAAGUGCUACGGGACUGGUAGAUGAUGGACUUAUGGCGCAUUAGCUUGUUGGUAGGGUAACGGCCUACCAAGGCGACGAUGCGUAGCCGACCUGAGAGGGUGACCGGCCACACUGGAACUGGGACACGGCCCAGACUCCUACGGGAGGCAGCAGUAGGGAAUUUUCGGCAAUGGGGGAAACCCUGACCGAGCAACGCCGCGUGAAGGAAGAAGUAAUUCGUUGUGUAAACUUCUGUCAUAGAGGAAGAACGGUGGAUAUAGGGAAUGAUAUCCAAGUGACGGUACUCUAUAAGAAAGCCACGGCUAACUACGUG
rnacentral:rRNA from 1 species